AUUGAACGCUGGCGGCAUGCCUUACACAUGCAAGUCGAACGGUAACGGGCCUUCGGGUGCCGACGAGUGGCGAACGGGUGAGUAAUACAUCGGAACGUGCCCGAUCGUGGGGGAUAACGAGGCGAAAGCUUUGCUAAUACCGCAUACGAUCUACGGAUGAAAGCAGGGGACCGCAAGGCCUUGCGCGGACGGAGCGGCCGAUGGCAGAUUAGGUAGUUGGUGGGAUAAAAGCUUACCAAGCCGACGAGCUGUAGCUGGUCUGAGAGGAUGAUCAGCCACACUGGGACUGAGACACGGCCCAGACUCCUACGGGAGGCAGCAGUGGGGAAUUUUGGACAAUGGGCGCAAGCCUGAUCCAGCCAUGCCGCGUGCAGGAUGAAGGCCUUCGGGUUGUAAACUGCUUUUGUACGGAACGAAAAGCCUUCUUUUAAUACAGGAGGGUCAUGACGGUACCGUAAGAAUAAGCACCGGCUAACUACGUG
rnacentral:rRNA from 1 species